rnacentral:rRNA from 1 species
UACGAAGGGUGCGAGCGUUAAUCGGAAUUACUGGGCGUAAAGAGCACGUAGGCGGUCUGGUAAGCGGAAUGUGAAAUCCCCGGGCUUAACCUGGGAACUGCAUCCCGAACUGCCAGGCUAGAGUACAGUAGAGGUGAGCGGAAUUUCCUGUGUAGCGGUGAAAUGCGUAGAUAUAGGAAGGAACAUCAGUUGCGAAGGCGGCUCACUGGAUGAAUACUGACGCUGAGGUGCGAAAGCGUGGGUAG